rfam:Mesocricetus auratus contig168719, whole genome shotgun sequence.
CCUAAGGCUUUUCUUAAAGCUACAUUUUUUUCAAUACUGGAAUUG